rnacentral:rRNA from 1 species
CGUACACUCCUACGGGAGGCAGCAGUGGGGAAUAUUGGACAAUGGGCGCAAGCCUGAUCCAGCCAUGCCGCGUGAGUGAUGAAGGCCCUAGGGUUGUAAAGCUCUUUCACCGGUGAAGAUAAUGACGGUAACCGGAGAAGAAGCCCCGGCUAACUUCGUGCCAGCAGCCGCGGUAAUACGAAGGGGGCUAGCGUUGUUCGGAUUUACUGGGCGUAAAGCGCACGUAGGCGGACUAUUAAGUCAGGGGUGAAAUCCCGGGGCUCAACCCCGGAACUGCCUUUGAUACUGGUAGUCUUGAGUUCGAGAGAGGUGAGUGGAAUUCCGAGUGUAGAGGUGAAAUUCGUAGAUAUUCGGAGGAACACCAGUGGCGAAGGCGGCUCACUGGCUCGAUACUGACGCUGAGGUGCGAAAGCGUGGGGAGCAAACAGGAUUAGAAACCCCGGUAGUCCCA